UCUACUUGAAGGAGCUGCGUGAUUCCCCUGCUUCAAAUGAACAACUUCCUCUUCGGUUAAUUCAUGUGCCUGGAGUUAUCAUUGCUGGGCUGGUGGGGCUAAUAGUGGAUAUUCCUCUUUUCACUGCAAUUGCUAUAAUUAAGAGUCCAUACAUGCUUUUCAAGGGUUGGUUCAGACUGAUACAUGAUCUAAUUAGCCGAGAGGGUCCAUUUCUUGAAACAGCAUGCAUUCCAAUUGCUGGCUUGA
rnacentral:misc_RNA from 1 species